AUUGAACGCUGGCGGCAUGCCUUACACAUGCAAGUCGAACGGCAGCACGGGUGCUUGCACCUGGUGGCGAGUGGCGAACGGGUGAGUAAUACAUCGGAACAUGUCCUGUAGUGGGGGAUAGCCCGGCGAAAGCCGGAUUAAUACCGCAUACGAUCUACGGAUGAAAGCGGGGGACCUUCGGGCCUCGCGCUAUAGGGUUGGCCGAUGGCUGAUUAGCUGGUUGGUGGGGUAAAGGCCUACCAAGGCGACGAUCAGUAGCUGGUCUGAGAGGACGACCAGCCACACUGGGACUGAGACACGGCCCAGACUCCUACGGGAGGCAGCAGUGGGGAAUUUUGGACAAUGGGCGAAAGCCUGAUCCAGCAAUGCCGCGUGUGUGAAGAAGGCCUUCGGGUUGUAAAGCACUUUUGUCCGGAAAGAAAUCCCUGGCCCUAAUACGGUCGGGGGAUGACGGUACCGGAAGAAUAAGCACCGGCUAACUACGUG
rnacentral:rRNA from 1 species